CCCCGCCUCGCCCGCCGGCCGUUGGUGGGCGGGGCGCUGGAGUCGGCCGGGGUCCCCCAAAUCCAGCCGGAAACAGUUGGCGAGUAAAUGUCUACGGGAUCCUUGUGUUGCUUCAGGCGUCCUGGUGCGCAGGGGGAUUUCAGGAGUGGACAGGAACCUGUUAGGCUCCUUACCUCGUGCAGUGGAGACAGGCGUUAAACACACGAAUGCAAGGAGAGCUGUGAUGGGUGCAGAUGGGGACAAUAAGGAGCUCCGAGUGGGGGGCGGAGGCGAACCUCACCUGGUCAAGGGGGUCAGGAAAGGCGUCUCUGAAGAAGGGAUGCCCUCCUUCCUCCCUCUGCCACGCGCGCGCACACAGAAACACACCCACAUAGACCAACAUACCAAAGAGAGAUUACCUUAAAUAUGUCUAUCUGCCCACCUCUUUUAGUGGCUAUAGGUAACGUGUAGCUCAAGGCCGGGAGAAAGACACUGAUCUGGUGGGUUUUGCAGACGACAGGCUGCUUGAGAUCCGCUGUGGGCUGAUGAUACCUCCUGGAGAUGCUCUCUUAAAUGUCCAGAUUUUCCCACUGGCAAAUGGGCCGGCAAUAUUGCGCUCACGUUCGGGAACGAGAUGCACGGUCAGCGUGUGAAAUGGCACAGCUGCGUGGCCUGCUGUUUGAAUGGGUUAUGACUAGUGACUUCUGUGAAUGCCAUGAGUGGAUGAAGUGGCGCUGGUGGAUCAGGAACCCUGAUGUUGCCGACAGGUCAUCCAGAUGCCCGUGUCUUCCGUGGUUGCCUAGGACAUGAGCAAGCAGGAAGUGAGGGCCUUUCCCCUCCACACAAGGGCUUCACUGUCUGCACCAUCAGUCCCCACUCUGACCCCAGGUCUUCAAGGAAAUGAAAACCUGCUCCCCCUUGCAAAAGGCACACCUCCAUAUGCAGUCUACAGACGUGGGGGACUAGACCAGUGGCAUGAUCUUGCCAUCCUCCUGCCAGAAGUAAAUGAAAAGAAUUCAUCCAAAUACCCAGACCAACCAAAGAGGGGGUCUGAGGGAGGAGAUCCACACUGUGAAAGGAGAUGAGAACUGAGGAGACUGAGGCCUGAGAAGUCCAAAGCUGAGGAUGCAAGGAGACAAGGAGGCAAGGAGGCUGGGGAGGUGGAGAAGGCUGAGGAGGCAGCAGAGGCUGCUGUGAAAAGAGGAAGGCAGGGAGCAGUGUCUGGCUGGAAGGGUGGGGUCCUUCAGGUAUAUCUGAGAGUAAGGGCCAAAUGGACCCUUUCAGAUGCCAUUGGUUACAAACCAGCCUGCAUCUUUAGCAAAUGAAUGUAAACAAGAGGCCCCACUUAAACAAGCCUCACAUUAACAGUUCCUGCUUCCUCUAACUCAUCCUAAUUUCUGAAUACAAAUACAAUAGUGAUUUCAUGUUUAGUCUCCUUUAUGUUGCAAAUAAAUAGCAGGCCAUGCCCAUUGUGUCAUUCUUUGUAGCCCAGAGAGUGCAAAUAUAAAAUGUAAAAUAAUUCAUCUUAAAACUGUGCUGUGAAAAGUGAAUCAUUUUGACAGAUGAUCAUCACUCUUAGGGUACUGAAUUUUUAAAGUCUAAAAUUCACAUGUAGGAGAUUUGGCUACUUUAGAAAGAUAUUUGAACUGAUUAUCAGUUCAUCUUGUUACCAAACCAGGUUCAUUCUUGCCCACCACCCAGAAAGCCAAACACCAAGACAACGGGAUUACAGCAGAGAGAGGGUUUACUCACAAGGCAGCCAUGUGAGGAAGUGAGACCAUGAGCCCCAAAUGCACUUCCCCAAAAAUAGGGUCUCAGGGAUAUUUAUGGGACAGGGGGCAAGGCAGUCAGAAAUGUGGAGAGACAUGAUUAGAGGUGAGGUAAUUGAUGGUCUGCACAAACAUAGUCAGACUUCAUGCCUCUUCAUAGGACCCAUGUUCACAAAAUGGUGGCAUUAGCAUGAUCUGAGGGUGGAGUUUUUAGCCUCUUGUUGUCAAAUGGUCACAAAUCGGACAUCUCUGCAGGCCCAGUUGAUGAUUUGGUGGUCUCAACUGGCCUGAAGUGGACGAGGAGUUCUAAUUCCUGAAAAACAGCUCACAUGCCCAUUACCAUGGUGACCUAGGCUCCAGAAAGAUGUUAUCCAUAGGAGCCUAGUGGGAGUCAGAUAGCAUAUUGCCUAAACAGCACGGUUAACAAUGGAUGGGUUAAACAGCUAAAAGCUAUAAUCAGUAAUUGCAAAAAGGAAAAAAAACUUUAGUUCCUAGCUACUUAAUCAUCAAUAGCUAACUUUCUG
ensembl:lncRNA